rnacentral:rRNA from 1 species
AUUGAACGCUGGCGGCAUGCUUUACACAUGCAAGUCGAACGGUAACAGGCCGCAAGGUGCUGACGAGUGGCGAACGGGUGAGUAAUGCAUCGGAACGUGCCCAGUCGUGGGGGAUAACGCAGCGAAAGUUGCGCUAAUACCGCAUACGAUCUAUGGAAGAAAGCGGGGGACCGUAAGGCCUCGCGCGAUUGGAACGGCCGAUGUCAGAUUAGGUAGUUGGUGGGGUAAAGGCUCACCAAGCCGACGAUCUGUAGCUGGUCUGGGAGGACGACCAGCCACACUGGGACUGAGACACGGCCCAGACUCCUACGGGAGGCAGCAGUGGGGAAUUUUGGACAAUGGGCGCAAGCCUGAUCCAGCAAUGCCGCGUGCAGGAAGAAGGCCUUCGGGUUGUAAACUGCUUUUGUACGGAACGAAACGGUCCUGGUUAAUACCUGGGGCUAAUGACGGUACCGUAAGAAUAAGCACCGGCUAACUACGUGCCAGCCGCCGCAGUAACAC